GACGAACGCUGGCGGCGUGCUUAACACAUGCAAGUCGAACGAUGAACUGGAGCUUGCUCCAGGGAUUAGUGGCGAACGGGUGAGUAACACGUGAGUAACCUGCCCUUGACUCUGGGAUAAGCGCUAGAAAUGGCGUCUAAUACCGGAUACGAGCUUCAGCCGCAUGGCUAGGAGUUGGAAAGAAUUUUGGUCAAGGAUGGACUCGCGGCCUAUCAGCUAGUUGGUGAGGUAAUGGCUCACCAAGGCGACGACGGGUAGCCGGCCUGAGAGGGUGACCGGCCACACGGGGACUGAGACACGGCCCAGACUCCUACGGGAGGCAGCAGUGGGGAAUAUUGCACAAUGGGCGAAAGCCUGAUGCAGCAACGCCGCGUGAGGGAUGACGGCCUUCGGGUUGUAAACCUCUUUUAGUAGGGAAGAAGCGAAAGUGACGGUACCUGCAGAAAAAGCACCGGCUAACUACGUGCCAGCAGCCGCCGUAA
rnacentral:rRNA from 1 species